rnacentral:tRNA from 1 species
AGAAUGUGGUGUAAAGGGAGCACGGAGAAUUUUGAGUUCUUAAAUGUAGGUUCAAUUCCUAUUGUUCUAG